AUUGAACGCUGGCGGCAGGCCUAACACAUGCAAGUCGAAAGAGUGGCGGACGGGUGAGUAAUGUCUGGGAAACUGCCUGAUGGAGGGGGAUAACUACUGGAAACGGUAGCUAAUACCGCAUACCAUCGGAUGUGCCCAGAUGGGAUUGGCUAGUAGGUGGGGUAAAGGCUCACUUAGGCGACGCUCCCUAGCUGGUCUGAGAGGAUGACCAGCAACACUGGAACGGAGACACGGUUCAGACUACGAGGCGAUGCAGCAGUGGGUAAGAUUGCACAAUGGGCGCAAGCCUGAUGCAGCCAUGCCGCGUGUAUGAAGAAGGCCUUCGGGUUGUAAAGUACUUUCAGCGGGGAGGCUUUACCCGCAGAAGAAGCACCGGCUAACGCCGUGCCAGCAGCCGCGGUAAUUC
rnacentral:rRNA from 1 species